rnacentral:rRNA from 1 species
AUUGAACGCUGGCGGCAUGCCUAACACAUGCAAGUCGAACGGCAGCAUGACGUGUAGCAAUACACGUUGAUGGCGAGUGGCGGACGGGUGAGGAAUGCAUCGGAAUCUGCCCAGUCGUGGGGGAUAACGUAGGGAAACUUACGCUAAUACCGCAUACGACUACGCGUUGAAAGACGCGGGGUGAAAGCGGGGGAUCGAAAGACCUCGCGCGAUUGGAUGAGCCGAUGCCGGAUUAGCUUGUUGGUGGGGUAACGGCCCACCAAGGCGACGAUCCGUAGCUGGUCUGAGAGGAUGGAUCAGCCACACGUGGGACUGAGACA